rnacentral:misc_RNA from 1 species
UUGAUUGCGAAUCGUUGCCUUCAGUGCUGGCCAGCUCUGGCAAGUGCACGUUGGUGACUUUCAUCCAUUACCCAUGUGCACCAUUGGCCUCUGCUAGCUUUGGCCAGCAGAGGAAUUUUACACAAACUCGAAUGUAAUGAAAUUUACUGUUGUGCGCAAGCACUAAUGUA